GUUCUUUUGAACCUAGCGGCGAAUGGGUGAGUAACACGUGCUUAAUCUACCCUUUAGAUUGGAAUACCCAAUGGAAACAUUGGCUAAUGCCGGAUACGCAUGGAAUCGCAUGAUUCCGUUGUGAAAGGAGCCUUUAAAGCUCCGCUAGAGGAUGAGGGUGCGGAACAUUAGUUAGUUGGUAGGGUAAUGGCCUACCAAGACUAUGAUGUUUAGCCGGGUCGAGAGACUGAACGGCCACAUUGGGACUGAGAUACGGCCCAAACUCCUACGGGAGGCAGCAGUAGGGAAUAUUCCACAAUGAGCGAAAGCUUGAUGGAGCGACACAGCGUGCACGAUGAAGGUCUUCGGAUUGUAAAGUGCUGUUAUAGGGAAAGAACACCUGGUUGAGGAAAUGCUUCCAGGCUGACGGUACCCUGUCAGAAAGCGAUGGCUAACUAUGUGCCAGCAGCCGCGGUAAUACAUAGGUCGCAAGCGUUAUCCGGAAUUAUUGGGCGUAAAGCGUUCGUAGGCUGUUUAUUAAGUCUGGAGUCAAAUCCCAGGGCUCAACCCUGGCUCGCUUUGGAUACUGGUAAACUAGAGUUAGAUAGAGGUAAGCGGAAUUCCAUGUGAAGCGGUGAAAUGCGUAGAUAUAUGGAAGAACACCAAAGGCGAAGGCAGCUUACUGGGUCUAUACUGACGCUGAGGGACGAAAGCGUGGGGAGCAAACAGGAUUAGAUACCCUGGUAGUCCACGCCGUAAACGAUGAUCAUUAGUCGGUGGAGAGUUCACUGACGCAGCUAACGCAUUAAAUGAUCCGCCUGAGUAGUAUGCUCGCAAGAGUGAAACUUAAAGGAAUUGACGGGGACCCGCACAAGCGGUGGAGCAUGUGGUUUAAUUUGAAGAUACGCGGAGAACCUUACCCACUCUUGACAUCCUUCGCAAUGCUAUAGAGAUAUAGCGGAGGUUAACGGAGUGACAGAUGGUGCAUGGUUGUCGUCAGCUCGUGUCGUGAGAUGUUUGGUCAAGUCCUGCAACGAGCGCAACCCCUAUCUUUAGUUACUAACGAGUCAUGUCGAGGACUCUAGAGAUACUGCCUGGGUAACUGGGAGGAAGGUGGGGAUGACGUCAAAUCAUCAUGCCUCUUACGAGUGGGGCAACACACGUGCUACAAUGGUCGGUACAAAGAGAAGCAAUAUGGCGACAUGGAGCAAAUCUCAAAAAGCCGAUCUCAGUUCGGAUUGGAGUCUGCAAUUCGACUCCAUGAAGUCGGAAUCGCUAGUAAUCGCAGAUCAGCUACGCUGCGGUGAAUACGUUCUCGGGUCUUGUACACACCGCCCGUCACACCAUGGGAGCUGGUAAUACCCAAAGUCGGU
rnacentral:rRNA from 1 species